GGUGGCUCAUUGGUAGAGCACUUGCCUUGCAUGCAUGAGGCCCUGGGUUCGAUUCCUCAGCACCA
rnacentral:tRNA from 1 species